GCGGCGGUAAAAAGGGAGACGGUGAAACGGCGGCGCGGGAGCAGUAAUUAUUCAAGCGUUUAACCCCGCGCAUGGACGACACCGUGGCCUACCCGUAGGCUUGCGUGGUGAGGAGGUGGCCUAGCUAGUCGCUCUGGCGGUCGACCGACGACGGCGGCGGCGACACGUCUGGGUGCUCUGUCACCGCCCGUGACCUUCAGAACCGAGUCGUGGUCGAUCUUCAAUCCGACGGCCUCCAGCGCCUUAACAGAAGUUGGAGAUAAUCUCAAGCCCGUCAUCUUUUGUUUUGGCUCUG
rnacentral:lncRNA from 1 species